GGCUCAGGUCAGCAUCUUCAGCAGAGCCAGGAGACAUGGGGGCAGGAACGCAGAUGAGCGCCUUAUCCCCAUCGCUGUUGUCAUGUGGAAGGUUGUCAUCAGAACUGCAGCGAUUCGUGCUUCCUGACAGCUCUGCACUGCAGGACGUGCACAGCGCACCACUACUGGGCCUGGGUCUUCUGGGUCGAAACCGGUUAGAUUCACCUGCCACGGCCACGACUUUUGCUUCUGAGGGUUUGUGCUGCAAUCUGUUUCACCACAGAGGGUGAUCUUCCCAGGCUGAAGCAGGAAUGCCAACUGCCAGCUGCUGAUUUCUUCAUCCCAUUGGCUGGACUUUUUCUUUCGGAUGGAAAGCCACUGACUGGGUGGCAUUUCCCCUGUAAAGCUGCAGGGCCUUCUUCC
rnacentral:lncRNA from 1 species